rnacentral:lncRNA from 1 species
CCCUGCAUGUGGUCCCCCGUAUCCCAGUGGGACACCAAAUCUCUGACUUGUACCAAUGCAUAUGUCAAUUGAAAAGUCGCUGGGUGGUCUGAUCAAUGUUAAGGAAAGCAAAUCGCUCGCUGCACACACCAAGAUCUGAAACGUAUUUCAUAUUUGGGCAAUCAACCACAUUGUUCUAUGCAAGAAAUAUCGCUUACUCCAUUAGCAUGGGCCUGUUCAACAACAUUUGAGAAGUCGCGAAUCUGCCCUGUUGUAUCUGGAUACUGUAAAAGAAUUCCAGCAAUAUCUUUUUUUGCCAAGUCAACUUUAAAUACAUCUCCAACUUCGAUGUAUGCCUGUAAGUAAGCGACAUCGCUUCCGCAGCAGCAGUGCUCUCAUCCAGAAGAGAAGCAUUCGCUACUUCCAUCCCUGUUAGCUCACAAAUCAUAGUUUGGUAAUUUAAAAGCCCCUCCAAUCGCCCCUGAGAAAUUUCUGGUUGGUAGGGCGUAUACUGUGUCGUCCUAGGAAUGUAAUUGUCAAAUAUGAAUACGUUUUAGUUAACUUCGAUAGGAUUCUUAACGUUAUUCAGUUAAGAUUCUUAUUAAUAGUUUAUUGAUGGAUUGUAGUACACACAAACAAUUGUUGCCGAAAUUGGUGCUCUGACACAUAAUAAUAACCAUGUACUAAAUGAUAAGUUUGCUUACCAUCCUGGAUUCUCGAAUAUGUUUCUCAAUAUUGUAUGUGGGACGCUACAGUUAUGGUACCCCAUACCGAUAUAGCUACGCCAAACUUGAUUCUUUUCCGAGACCUCUCGAAUUCUUUUAAUUAAUUCAUACUCAUCUGGAAAUGGAAAAUUUGAUCGUGGAUACGGAAUUAAUAAGUAUUCAAGUAAUCAAAAUUUCUUUCUUUCUUCGUGAUUAUUGCCAAAAGAAAUUGUGAGAGAAUUAGGUUUGAUAUUCGGAAUGAAUAUAUGUGUAAAUACGAGUCAUCACCGACGAGAUGAUAAAAUUAUUUGAGUCUGUUCUAAGUUGUUAUUAAAUUCGACAAAAUCAAUUACGAAAAUUGUCAGAUGUUGAUAGGAAAAGUACGUGAGUACACAUCUCAAGUCACAGUUUCACCUCUUGACCGAAGAUAAGUAUGCUCUUUAUAAAAAGUGAUUAUAUCAGCUAUGGAACAUUCAUUUAUGCGAUUAACUCAACUCUCGUGUCCCCUAUCUGACCUCACGUGUUCUACCACAAUUUGUUAUUCGAAUAACCAUACUAGAUUGUGUGUAUUAUGUUUCUUAUCAAUUCAUUCCACUUCUCAUGUUUAAUGUGCAAUAUCAUUUCUCCGCAUAAAUAACGCGAUAUUUUUACAUGCUAUCCAACUCG